CAGCCGUAAACUAUGCUCGCUAGGUGUCAGGCAUGGCGCGACCGUGUCUGGUGCCGCAGGGAAGCCGUGAAGCGAGCCACCUGGGAAGUACGGCCGCAAGGCUGAAACUUAAAGGAAUUGGCGGGGGAGCACAACAACGGGUGGAGCCUGCGGUUUAAUUUGGACUCAACGCCGGGAAGCUCACCGGAUAAGACAGCGGAAUGAUUGCCGGGCUGAAGACUCUGCAUGACUAGCUGAGAGGAGGUGCAUGGCGUAGACGUCU
rnacentral:rRNA from 1 species